rnacentral:lncRNA from 1 species
ACGCCUACGUAAGGAGAUGAAGCGGGGGGAAUGACGUAGGCACCGCGACGCGGCGACUCAGACGGAGGAUGGUUUGCUUCCCCUCCGUGGUCGCGGGGAUUCCUGGGGAAACGAAGCACAGAAGCCAAGCGGCGGAGACGCCAGGACUCCUGUGUGUAAGGCUUUCCUGAACGACGGAGUGGAUGUCCAGACGGCAGGCUGCAGAGAGCGGCCGGCAGGAGGAAAAAAAGAAAUGAAACCUGGUGAUUCACAGACCUGUACCCCUGGGGAUAAAAAUAUAUGUUUAUAAAAAAUAAAAAAUUAAAAAAAAAAAAAAAGAAAUGAAUUAGUAGAGUUUUCUGUUUUGUUUUCUCUUUUCCUCU